UCCAGGUGGACAAAUAUCAAAAUCAAUGACUGAACAUCAGAUGAAGCAUCCGUGGAGGGAGGACAGAUUGUAUUAAUAUGGAUGCCAUGCAUGAGAAGAAUAUUAGAGAAUAAUGAAGGUUUAUCAUCUUAUGCUGAGAUAGAAAUUAAUGUAUUUAACGAAACAUCGUGAAUGAAGAAACUUUUCUUCUCAGUGACCAGUAUGCUCAUCUAAGAGCAAUUAUGACUUAGUUCUGCAAGACAUCAAAUAAAUACAGCUUUGAAACCAGCAAUCUUUAA